UACGGGGGAGGCAAGCGUUGUUCGGAUUUACUGGGCGUAAAGGGCGCGUAGGCGGCCACCGCAAGUCGACUGUGAAAUCUCCGGGCUUAACCCGGAAAGGUCAGCCGAUACUGCGGGGCUAGAGUGCAGAAGGGGCAACUGGAAUUCUCGGUGUAGCGGUGAAAUGCGUAGAUAUCGAGAGGAACACCUGCGGCGAAGGCGGGUAGCUGGGCCGACACUGACGCUGAGGCGCGAAAGCCAGGGGAGCGAACGGG
rnacentral:rRNA from 1 species